GUCCGCCACCUCCUUCGGGCCCCCUCAUUUUCGCUUCAUGGCUGCUAUUGCCUGCAUCUUUGUUGUGCUUCACCUUUUCUCCGUCUCGUUCCUUUUAUUCGCCUUUUUUCCGCGUGUUCCGCGCUUCUUCCUGUGUUUUCCGGUGUUUUUGCUUUGCUCGCACACUCGGCUGCAUUUGCUGUUCCACACUCGCCAUGUGCGUCUUUUCCGCCCCCUGACGCCGUCCACGGCGCUAUCCCGGGGCCGACGUCCCGGACCCUGACCCC
rnacentral:misc_RNA from 1 species